GGCAUUGUCAAAGUAUGCAUUUGUUGCUUCUCAGGGGAAAGAGCUUCCAUUCUUUGCAUCCAAAAUCGCCUCGGUCAUACUGGGGCUGAUGAGGUUCUUCCCUUGGCCUGCUGAAGGAGUGCAAAAGAGAUGGUUGGGAAAGGCAAAGAAAGAGUUGACAGCGAGCAUUCAGAAGGGCAUUUCAUUUAACAAGAAUUAAACUGGUUAAGGACGUGGCUUGUCCAAGGAAAAAGGUGUCCCCUGCAUAGUUUCCCGCUAUUUUCUACUCAAAAUAGGUACUUGGGAAUAAGUGGUUCAAACCAAACAAGAUAUCGAAGUUUAUUUUGCCUACGUGGCAUAGAAAACAUAAAGGUUUUUCUUUUCUCACAUGAAAUGUACUCAAAUGUUGGUCUGUGUAAUAACAUGGACUGAUGUUGGUGUA